rnacentral:lncRNA from 1 species
UUUUUUUCGUUCAAUUUGCCACUCAUGGAAAAAAAAUCACAAAAUCAAUGAGCCUAGCCUAAUCAUCUUUUCUUUUAGGUAGGUUCAUAGGAGAACUAGAAUAUAUUGCUUCCGUCCAUUAUUGGAUCUGUCUAGAGAUUCUUGUCUCACUGAUCUUUUGUCUCCACUAGGUUAAGAUAAUCUCUGCUCCUAUCUUCUUUACUAACAAUCAAAUUUGAUUAUGUGCAUUCUAAUUUCUAAUAGCAUCAUACACAUAAGAUUACAAGCAUAUACUCUCC